GUGUUUUCAUGUUCAAACUAUCACUAGGCUCUUGUAACUACCCGUGGAAAUACCACUAACACAAUCACCAGACUAUUGCCAGGUUCAUAAAACUACCCAUGGAAAUACCCAGAACAGCCUUACCAAAGCCUUGUAAAACUAUAACUAGGUCUUGUAACUACCCAUGGAAACACCACUAACACAACAACCUUACCAAAGCCUUGUAAAACUAUAACUAGGCUCAUGUAACUACCCAUGGAAACACCACUAACACAACAACCUUACCAAAGCCUUGUAAAACUAUCACUAGGUCUUGUAACUACCCAUGGAAACACGACUAACACAACAACCUUACCAAAGCCAUGUAAAACUAUCAUUAGGCUCAUGUAACUACCCAUGGAAAUACCACUAACACAACAACCUCUACCAAAGUCUUGCCAAAUGAGGGUAUGUGAGCCUAGAAGUGUUUUGAAAAUAUGAAUAACAUGCAUAUUACAUACAUCAUUAUUCCCUUGUAUUUCUCCCAAGCUCUUCCAUUAGUUGCUGUCUUGUGUUUCCAGUUUUAUUUAUGUAUUUAAUCUAUUUAUUGACCUCUUCCUCUGUCACGGCAUGAGAUAAUAUAUUUAAUGCUUGCAAACCCUCGCCACACUUUGCAUUGUGUUGUAUGACGAAGGUGAUUGUGUAUGCCAAUGUUUUGCCCUGCUGGUAACCUCUCUACUACCUGUGUAUAGUAAGAGAAGAUGGCGCCACUAUAAACACUUGCCUGCACCAUGACGGGCUGGGGCCAAACACCAUCCAGGGCCCUCAAGCAAGCCUACCGACACUAUAGGCAUAGACGUAAAAAAAUAAAAAAUAAACUGGUGCUCAAAUAUACAUAAGAAUACACAUGAAAGUAUGCAUAUACAAACACAUGAAUGGAGAUAAUAAAGAAUGGUUGUUUUUC